rnacentral:rRNA from 1 species
CCUACGGGAGGCAGCAGUGGGGGAUAUUGCACAAUGGGGGGAACCCUGAUGCAGCGACGCCGCGUGGGUGAAGAAGCGCCUCGGCGCGUAAAGCCCUGUCAGCAGGGAAGAAAAUGACGGUACCUGAAGAAGAAGCCCCGGCUAACUACGUGCCAGCAGCCGCGGGAAUACGUAGGGGGCAAGCGUUAUCCGGAUUUACUGGGUGUAAAGGGGGCGCAGACGGCGAGGCAAGCCAGGAGUGAAAGCCCGGGGCCCAACCCCGGGACUGCGCUGGGAACGGGGUGGCUGGAGUGCAGGAGGGGGGGGGGGAUGUCGGGGUGGAGGGGUGAAAUGUGGAGAGAAAGGGAGGA